GCGACUGUAGCUCAGUUGGUAGAGCCCACGGUUGUGGUCCGUGUGGUCGCGGGUUCGAGCCCCGUCAGUCGCCCCA
rnacentral:tRNA from 1 species